GGCUGGGUAGCUCAGUGGAUUAGAGCCAACCUAGAGGUGGGAGGUCCUAGGUUCGAAUCCAGCCUCAGCCA
rnacentral:tRNA from 1 species